rnacentral:misc_RNA from 1 species
AACGCACAUUGCGCCCCGUGGUAUUCCGCGGGGCAUGCCUGUUCGAGCGUCAUUACACCACUCAAGCCUCGCUUGGUAUUGGGCGACGCGGUUAGCCGCGCGCCUCAAAUCUUCCGGCUGGUUCGAAUCGCCCCUCAGCGUUGUGGAAACUAUUCGCAGAGGAGUUCGAGUCGUCGCGGCCGUUAAAUCUUUCAAAGGUUGACCUCGGAUCAGGUAGGGAUACCCGCUGAACUUAA